UGCAGUCGAACGAUGAUGCCCAGCUUGCUGGGUGGAUUAGUGGCGAACGGGUGAGUAACACGUGAGUAACCUGCCCCUGACUCUGGGAUAAGCGUUGGAAACGACGUCUAAUACUGGAUAUGAUCACCGGCCGCAUGGUCUGGUGGUGGAAAGAUUUUUUGGUUGGGGAUGGACUCGCGGCCUAUCAGCUUGUUGGUGAGGUAAUGGCUCACCAAGGCGACGACGGGUAGCCGGCCUGAGAGGGUGACCGGCCACACUGGGACUGAGACACGGCCCAGACUCCUACGGGAGGCAGCAGUGGGGAAUAUUGCACAAUGGGCGAAAGCCUGAUGCAGCAACGCCGCGUGAGGGAUGACGGCCUUCGGGUUGUAAACCUCUUUUAGUAGGGAAGAAGCGAAAGUGACGGUACCUGCAGAAAAAGCACCGGCUAACUACGUGCCAGCAGCCGCGGUAAUACGUAGGGUGCAAGCGUUGUCCGGAAUUAUUGGGCGUAAAGAGCUCGUAGGCGGUUUGUCGCGUCUGCUGUGAAAUCCCGAGGCUCAACCUCGGGCUUGCAGUGGGUACGGGCAGACUAGAGUGCGGUAGGGGAGAUUGGAAUUCCUGGUGUAGCGGUGGAAUGCGCAGAUAUCAGGAGGAACACCGAUGGCGAAGGCAGAUCUCUGGGCCGUAACUGACGCUGAGGAGCGAAAGCAUGGGGAGCGAACAGGAUUAGAUACCCUGGUAGUCCAUGCCGUAAACGUUGGGCGCUAGAUGUAGGGACCUUUCCACGGUUUCUGUGUCGUAGCUAACGCAUUAAGCGCCCCGCCUGGGGAGUACGGCCGCAAGGCUAAAACUCAAAGGAAUUGACGGGGGCCCGCACAAGCGGCGGAGCAUGCGGAUUAAUUCGAUGCAACGCGAAGAACCUUACCAAGGCUUGACAUACACCGGAAACGGCCAGAGAUGGUCGCCCCCUUGUGGUCGGUGUACAGGUGGUGCAUGGUUGUCGUCAGCUCGUGUCGUGAGAUGUUGGGUUAAGUCCCGCAACGAGCGCAACCCUCGUUCUAUGUUGCCAGCGGGUUAUGCCGGGGACUCAUAGGAGACUGCCGGGGUCAACUCGGAGGAAGGUGGGGAUGACGUCAAAUCAUCAUGCCCCUUAUGUCUUGGGCUUCACGCAUGCUACAAUGGCCGGUACAAAGGGCUGCGAUACCGUAAGGUGGAGCGAAUCCCAAAAAGCCGGUCUCAGUUCGGAUUGAGGUCUGCAACUCGACCUCAUGAAGUCGGAGUCGCUAGUAAUCGCAGAUCAGCAACGCUGCGGUGAAUACGUUCCCGGGCCUUGUACACACCGCCCGUCAAGUCAUGAAAGUCGGUAACACCCGAAGCCGGUGGCCU
rnacentral:rRNA from 1 species